CUAAAGAGCCGGGGUUCUUUUUGAAAUUUUUUCCCGCGAGAACUCGCAUUCCUUACGAGAUGUCUUGUCCAAUCCGCGCCUCCGACACAAACAAGAGGAGCGACUCGCAGCGACUGCGCAGGUAGUGGGAUCAUUUCUAUACUGUUCACUGUGUCACCGUUAGUGACGGUACUGGGCCCCAGAUAAUUCAAGAAGGAUUUGUUGAAUCCAUGAAGGAUACUUGUGAUACUUUCUCCAACAACUUUGCUUAGUCAAGUCUACAAAGGACCCUUUCCAGUGAGACACAUCCCAGAAGAGGAAUUUGGCUGCUGGAAGACAAAAAGCUGACUCCUUGCAUUUGGUGCUCAUAAAUGUUAGCCCUGGAUUGCUGGGUUCAAGUUAUCCUCCUGUCUCAGACAUCCAAGCUGCUGUAGCCAGGACUACAGGUGUGCACCACCGUGCUUCCCUACCUCUUUCCUUUACACCAGGCAUUCUAUUACAGCAAUAAAGAGUUGUGUAAGAAGCUGAUGCUACAUACAUGUGUAUAAAACAAAACAAAAACUCUCAGCUGUUUGUUCCCACAACUGCCUUCCUUAGACUCCAAUCACUCACUACAUUUGGUCAUCAUGGAUCUGAACCAUUCCUGAAUUGAGAAUAUCACUUAAGAAAAUUAUUUUUGUUGGAGUACAGGGAGGGAAAGGAGGGAAAUCUUGUUUUAUUCUUCAGGCCCAGUUCUUGGCUUUAAAAGUUCAGAAGCUAAGAAAUCAAUGUAUUCAUCACUAUUUGCAGUUUUUGCUUUUAGAUAUGCCCUUCCUGUGAGCAGUAAGUAACUGUAAAAGAAAACAUGGCAUGGCAAUGUGGUAUUUUCUGUAUCUUCCUGUCUGGAGAUUUUGUGUAAAAAUGGGUUAUUAUCUCCAGUUUAGUGGAUGUGCUCCUUGGGGAGCUCUUGGUACUGUCUCCCAAGUGUUACCUGUUUGUACCUUGCGGUAGUCAGUCCUUGUUCACAGCAUUCUUCCUCUUCAUCUUGUUCUUUCUCUCUCUCUUUUGAGACUCUCCUACUAUGUAUUCUUGGACAAAAGGACAGAGAGCAAGUACUUGGAAUUGGCUUUUAAAGGACCUUUUUGUUUCCGAUGAGAAUCAAUGAUAGCUGCACUUGAGAUUUUUCAGGACCCUGGUAAUGACAUGAAAUGCUCUCCCACAGAUCUCGCAUGGCUGGAAGAAUCAGUGGCAGUCUUGAAUUCAGAGUGCCUUCUCUUAGAGGUAUUCUUCUGAAACUGGUAUUUUGAUGAUGCAUUCAGUUUACUAAUUAGAGCUCAUAACUUCUUAACUGUAAAUCAGUUGCAGAUUUGGCACAUGGCAACUCUAUUGCUUCUGAGAGGCUUCCAUUAGAAAGCCAACAGUUUUUUUUUAUAACUAUGAUCCUAGGGGCCCUACGGUGUUCGUAACAAUCUUUUAUUUAAGAUAGGGGAGGUAUUCUGUGCAUCUUUCACUAGUAGAAACACAGAAGAUAAUUGUCUUGUUUAUAUAACAGCAUAAACAAUUAACUCAGAGUCUGGGACUAAUUCAACUAACUCUCAGAGUGUGAGUUGUUGCUGAGAUGUACAGGAAAUGAAAAAAAUUCUUUUAUUUCUGUUUUUUUAAGAUUUGUUUUUUCCGUUGUGUAUAUGUCUCUGCACAUACGGAUGAGUGCAGGUGCCUAUGGAGGCCAGCAGAGGGCAUCAGGUGCCUACGGAGGCCAGCAGAGGGCAUCAGGUGCCCUGGAUCUGGAGUUGCAGGCAGUUAGGAACCACCCUGUAGGGAGAUAAAUUCAGGUCCUCUAGAAGAGCUGCAAGCACCCUUAACCACCGAGCCAUCCUUACCCCCCCCCCCCAAAUCUUUUCUUUAAGAGACAUAACAUGCUGUAAAAAAAAUUUAACCAUUUAUAUGACAAGGACUUAUAUCCAGAAUAAACAAAGAACUCUUGUGGUUCACAAUAGGAAUGCAAACAACCAAGUUUAAAAAUGAGCAAAAGAUGCAGACAAAUUUAGUCAGUAAGUACAUGAAAAGGCAUACAAGAAAACUGCCCUGAGAUACCACUUUGCAGCCACUAGAGUGGCUAAAAUUAAAAAGACUGUUAAUACCAAAUGCUAGCAGUGAAAAUGUCCAUCAACACAUGAGCAGAUAAGCUGGUUUUACAAUGUGUGUGCAAUCAGAUUCGAUUUAGUAGAACAAUAAAAUGGAAUGAAGCAACAGCAUGGCUGGAUCUCAAAAGAAUCAUGCCAAAUAAAACAGCCAGGCAAAAACGAGUACAUAUUGUACAUUCCUUUCAUGUAACAUGCUAAAAGAACAGAGCCAUCUCUAGUGAUUGAAAGCAUACCAGUGGGUGCCUGAGGAUGGGUUUGGGAAGUUAAGAGGGUGAGGCAGGGUGGGGACACAAAGACAAUUUUCCAUGUGUUGGGUAUCUGUGAUGAUGGUUUCAUGUUGCCUAGACAUGUCAAAACUCAUCAAACUGUCCUUAUUGUAUGUAGUUCCCCAUAUGUCACUUAUAACUCAAUAAAGCUAUUCUUAAAAGAGAA